GUGGGGAAUAUUGGUCAAUGGGCGCAAGCCUGAACCAGCCAUGCCGCGUGCAGGAAGACGGUCCUAUGGAUUGUAAACUGCUUUUAUUUGGGAAUAAACUCCGGUACGUGUACCGGCCUGAAGGUACCAAAUGAAUAAGCACCGGCUAACUCCGUGCCAGCAGCCGCGGUAAUACGGAGGGUGCAAGCGUUAUCCGGAAUCAUUGGGUUUAAAGGGUCCGCAGGCGGUCUUAUAAGUCAGUGGUGAAAGCCUACAGCUCAACUGUAGAACUGCCAUUGAUACUGUAGGACUUGAAUUCGAUCGAAGUGGGAGGAAUGUGACAUGUAGCUGUGAAAUGCUUAGAUAUGUCACAGAACACCGAUAGCGAAGGCAGCUCACUAGGUCUGGAUUGACGCUCAGGGACGAAAGCGUGGGGAGCAAACAGGAUUAGAAACCCUGGUAGUCC
rnacentral:rRNA from 1 species